rnacentral:rRNA from 1 species
GGGUGAGUAAUACAUCAGAACGUGCCCAGUAAUGGGGGAUAGCUCGGCGAAAGCCGGAUUAAUACCGCAUACACCCUGAGGGGGAAAGUGGGGGACCGCAAGGCCUCACGUUAUUGGAGCGGCCGAUGGCUGAUUAUCUAGUUGGUAGGGUAAAGGCCUACCAAGGCGACGAUCAGUAGCUGGUCUGAGAGGACGAUCAGCCACACUGGGACUGAGACACGGCCCAGACUCCUACGGGAGGCAGCACUGGGGAAUUUUGGACAAUGGGGGAAACCCUGAUCCAGCAAUGCCGCGUGUGCGAACAAUGCCUUCGGGUUGUAAAGCACUUUUGUCAGGGAAGAAAUCCUUUGGGCUAAUACCCUAGGGGGAUGACGGUACCUGAAGAAUAAACACCGGCUAACUACGUGCCACCAGCCGCGGUAAUAC